rnacentral:rRNA from 1 species
UACGGAGGGUGCGAGCGUUGUCCGGAAUCACUGGGCGUAAAGGGCGCGUAGGCGGCCUGGUAAGUAGGGGGUGAAAUCCUGCGGCUUAACCGCAGGGCUGCCUUCUAAACUGUCAGGCUCGAGCACGGUAGAGGCAGAUGGAAUUCCCGGUGUAGCGGUGAAAUGCGCAGAUAUCAGGAGGAACACCGGUGGCGAAGGCGGAUCUCUGGGCCUUACCUGACGCUGAGGCGCGAAAGCUAGGGGAGCAAACAGG